CCAGCAGGGACAGAGGAGUUAACAUUUCAAGCUCUAGACCCUGUCUGUCGGUUUACACAGGCCUUUUAUAAGCUGCCAGUUUUACACUCUGCAACAUCAUAUGCAAAUAAAGUACAACAGAAGUUAACCAGCCAGGAACAAGCUUUGUAA